GCUCGGCCCAUCCUACCGCUCGGCCACACCAGACGCAGCCGCGCAGGAUGCUUUAGGCGCUGUUCCUUUCCCGGCGAUCGCCGGCGACGGCCCACCCCGACCUGCACCACGCUGCUCCUGGCCGUCCGCUUGUCCGUGUCGUUCGUGUGGGAGAUCGCAGGGACAGAGCGGCCAAGCGGGGCUGGUUCGGAGCUGGAUUCGCGCGCUCGUUUGAAUCUCAGCGCCUGCAUCCGCGCACCAUCCACUCGUCGGCUCCAGCAACUGCUUCCGAUCGAGGCGACCCACACGCGUGGAAUUCUCUCCAGCCUAGACGGCGCCAGGCUCUGAUGCUCCACGGUAACCACGCUACUCACGAUGGCGGCCUGGUCAGCUCAGUUGCCUGCUUCUGCAUUCGGGGUCGGGCGCCCUGCAGGUGUUCGGUGAAUUGCCACGCUAGGGAGACUGCGCCGUUAAGAGUUGGGUCACGGAUCCAGGUGACAGGUGAAAAAAAAUCUAAAGUGGCGCGAUUGUAUACUACAGUAUAUGAAAAAGACUUGGCUCGGCGCGGGUCGUCGGGAGAAGCUGCCGAGCCUCUGGGCCCUGCAUAUUCGAUCAUCAUCAAAGUCUGACAGGGAGUCGUCGAGGAAGGGAAGUAGCAACAAGCCAACGAGCAAGUCUUCCUCCGGUCAACGGGCAAGUCUUCCUCCGGUCAACUACGGGCGCCGCAGUUGAAUGCAGGUUUUAUGUCUAGUAGGAAAAAAGCAUUUGCAUCCGACAGAGUCGGCUGUGACGUGGUGUGUGGUCAUGUUGAGUACGUCAGUGCAACUCGUCAUGUAAUUACGUCGGAGUGAGCAUCCUAUGCAGCCAAUCUUCAUCGACCGGUAGAUCAAUCUAAGAAACACGGUUGGGCG